rnacentral:lncRNA from 1 species
CCGAUGUCCGGAUAGGUCGAAUAAUCAUAAUCGCAACAUUCAAAACCUACAUGAAUAUGGUUACUGUAUAAUUCAUCUUUUUGACCCAAGUGUUUAGGAUGACUCAAGGUUAAACUGUCAACCUUGAUCAGAUCAUCCGAAUCGUGCUCAACUCAAACAGUCCUGUGACUCCUCACAAGGACUACCCUAGCCAAGGUUUUGCUAAAUUGAAAUACGACUGUACACAGCUCCUAAACUGGAGUGGUCAAUCCCAUCUUAACACACGCACCGACAAGUCAAGUAUUUGACUACACCCAGCAGCCUUCCGUCACUAAAUUAAAAAUUCAGGUAGUCCAGUGCCUAAGUGCAGUGAGUUGCUUGCAAAUCACCGUGGUGGUC